rnacentral:rRNA from 1 species
UACGUAGGGUCCGAGCGUUGUCCGGAAUUACUGGGCGUAAAGAGCUCGUAGGUGGUUUGUCGCGUUGUUCGUGAAAACUCACAGCUCAACUGUGGGCGUGCGGGCGAUACGGGCAGACUUGAGUACUGCAGGGGAGACUGGAAUUCCCGGUGUAGCGGUGGAAUGCGCAGAUAUCAGGAGGAACACCGGUGGCGAAGGCGGGUCUCUGGGCAGUAACUGACGCUGAGGAGCGAAAGCGUGGGGGAGCGAACAGG